GACGAACGCUGGCGGCGUGCUUAACACAUGCAAGUCGAACGGAAAGGCCUGCUUUCCCUUGUGGAUUGCGGGUGCUCGAGUGGCGAACGGGUGAGUAACACGUGAGUGAUCUGCCCCCAACUUGGGUAUAAGCCUGGGAAACUGGGUCUAAUUCCCGAUAGGACUGCAGGGUGGUGCCUGUGGUGGAAAACGAUUUUCUAGUGGUUGGGGAUGAGCUCGCGGCCUAUCAGCUUGUUGGUGGGGUCAUGGCCUACCAAGGCGGCGACGGGUAGCCGGCCUGGGAGGGUGGACGGCCACAUUGGGACUGAGAGACGGCCCAGACUCCUACGGGAGGCAGCAGUGGGGAAGAGUGCACAACGGGCGGAAGCCUGAUGCAGCGACGCCGCGUGGGGGAUGACGGCCUUCGGGUUGUAAACUCCUUUCGACCGCGAGGAAGCCGCCUGGUUGGAAGGGUGGUGACGGUAGUGGUAGAAGAAGCACCGGCUAACUACGUG
rnacentral:rRNA from 1 species